rnacentral:lncRNA from 1 species
GAGAAGUUCAGUGUCCUUCUGCUGGUGGAAGAGUGGGCAGUGGGCUUAAGGGACAGAGGGUUACUUACUCCUCCGGGACUCAGUUUCCUUUUCUUGAAAAAUAAGAAUUCCAAUCCAUCUUCAGGGCCAUCGUGGAGGUGAGUAAUCACCCAGAUAGAGGAUCCGGUUCAGGGCCUGGUGUGG